rnacentral:rRNA from 1 species
AUUGAACGCUGGCGGCAUGCCUUACACAUGCAAGUCGAACGGUAACGGGCCUUCGGGUGCCGACGAGUGGCGAACGGGUGAGUAAUGCAUCGGAACGUACCCAUCAGUGGGGGAUAACUCUCCGAAAGGAGGGCUAAUACCGCAUAUUCUGUGCGCAGGAAAGCGGGGGACCGCAAGGCCUCGCGCUGAUGGAGCGGCCGAUGUCAGAUUAGCUAGUUGGUGGGGUAGAGGCCUACCAAGGCGACGAUCUGUAGCGGGUCUGAGAGGAUGAUCCGCCACACUGGGACUGAGACACGGCCCAGACUCCUACGGGAGGCAGCAGUGGGGAAUUUUGGACAAUGGGGGCAACCCUGAUCCAGCCAUGCCGCGUGAGUGAAGAAGGCCUUCGGGUUGUAAAGCUCUUUCGGCCGGGAAGAAAUCGCAUCUCCUAAUACGGGGUGUGGAUGACGGUACCGGAAUAAGAAGCACCGGCUAACUACGUGCCAGCCGCCGCGGUAA